rnacentral:rRNA from 1 species
GACGAACGCUGGCGGCGUGCUUAACACAUGCAAGUCGAACGGAAAGGCCCUGCUUUUGUGGGGUGCUCGAGUGGCGAACGGGUGAGUAACACGUGAGUAACCUGCCCUUGACUGUGGGAUAACUUCAGGAAACUGGGGCUAAUACCACCUAGGAGCUCCUGCUGCAUGGUGGGGGUUGGAUAGUUUCGGCGGUUGGGGAUGGACUCGCGGCUUAUCAGCUUGUUGGUGGGGUAGUGGCAUACGAAGGCAUUGGCGGGUAGCCGGCCUGGGAGGGUGACCGGCCACAUUGGGACUGAGCUACGGCCCAGACUCCUAUGGGAGGCAGCAGUGGAGAAUAUUGCACAAUGGGCGGGAGCCUGAUGCAGCAACGCCGCGUGCGGGAUGACGGCCUUCGGGUUGUAAACCGCUGUCGCCUGUGACGAAGCGUGAGUGACGGUAAUGGGUAAAGAAGCACCGGCUAACUACGUG